CCUACGGGAGGCAGCAGUGGGGAAUAUUGCGCAAUGGGCGAAAGCCUGACGCAGCGACGCCGCGUGAGGGAUGAAGGUCUUCGGAUCGUAAACCUCUGUCAGCAGGGAAGAACGGUCACUGUGCUAAUCAGCAGUGAAUUGACGGUACCUGCAAAGGCAGCACCGGCUAACUCCGUGCCAGCAGCCGCGGUAAUACGGAGGGUGCGAGCGUUAAUCGGAAUUACUGGGCGUAAGGCGCUCGUAGGCGGUAUGGCAAGUCAAGGGUGAAAUCCCCGCGCGCAACGUGGGAACUGCCUUUGAAACUGGCAAACUGGAGUGUGUGAGAGGAUAGUGGAAUUCCAGGUGUAGGAGUGAAAUCCGUAGAGAUCUGGAGGAACAUCAGUGGCGAAGGCGACUAGCUGGAACAUAACUGACGCUGAGGAGCGAAAGCGUGGGUAGCAAACAGGAUUAGAUACCCUUGUAGUC
rnacentral:rRNA from 1 species